rnacentral:misc_RNA from 1 species
GAUGAAGAACGUAGCGAAUUGCGAUAAGUAAUGUGAAUUGCAGAAUUCAGUGAAUCAUCGAAUCUUUGAACGCACAUUGCGCCCCCUGGUAUUCCGGGGGGCAUGCCUGUUCGAGCGUCAUUUCAACCCUCAAGCUCUGCUUGGUAUUGGGCGUCGCCGGGGAGUCUCCCCGGCGUGCCUCAAAGCCAUCGGCGGUGGUGCCUUUCUCUAAGCGUGGUAGAAUUUUUAUUCGCUUCUGAGUUGGGCUUCGCCUGCCGGACAAACCGGGCCCUCGCGGCCCACCGUCUCAGGUUGACCUCGGAUCAGGUAGGGAUACCCGCUGAACUUAAGCAUAUCAAUAAGCGGAGGA